rnacentral:rRNA from 1 species
UACGUAGGGUGCAAGCGUUAAUCGGAAUUACUGGGCGUAAAGCGUGCGCAGGCGGUUCGGAAAGAAAGAUGUGAAAUCCCAGGGCUUAACCUUGGAACUGCAUUUUUAACUACCGGGCUAGAGUGUGUCAGAGGGAGGUGGAAUUCCGCGUGUAGCAGUGAAAUGCGUAGAUAUGCGGAGGAACACCGAUGGCGAAGGCAGCCUCCUGGGAUAACACUGACGCUCAUGCACGAAAGCGUGGGUAGUGAACG